GUGUUGUAUGUUGGUCCAUCACCGCACCCUCAACCAAUCUUUUUCUUCCAAAUAUCAUCAAUUUUGGACGUGACUCAUGGCUCUUGUGGUACGUGUUCUUCUCCGCCUCUUCGAGAACACCACCACCGCCUCUGCUUCUAUCUCCACCUGUUUGCCUCUCGAUUGAAUCCUUUAUCAUCUCUCUCUUUCGACUUCUUCUACCAUUCUUCCAAAGGAUCCCGCUUCCAACGAUGCCCUUUACUACCUAUUCUUCAUCGGGUUACCGUAACUCUACUUUGGUCACUUCCUCCAGAUCCUUCCCCACGACGCUUCUGACCAUUCCAUUCGUAAUCGGUAGAGCAAAAACAGAUCAGAGAGGAAAACGAAGAAAUCGCCAACGCCUUUGUUGUGCAGUUGUGGCUUCUCGACUCUCAUCGACGACCUGUAACAACCCUCCCUUAUUUAUUGUGUAUCCAGUGGUCUUUGAUUAAGCAGAAGACAACCAAUGAACGAUUAUUUGUAAUUACUGAUGAAGUUAUCCAUUGGUGCCCUACCCCUCUAAUCAGAUAAGUUUCUAUUAUAGAUUCUUCUUCAGUUUCGAUUCCGAUCCCCCAACUCACCGCCUGGAAUUGAAAUCCAUUAUCCGUCUUCAGUUUUUAGAUGUACUCAAAUAUGGGUGAACACGAUGGCAAAGAAAGAAGACGGACGCCCAUAUCGGCUCUCUCUCACCGUUACUCUCUCUCCCACCGCCAUUAUCCUAUUUCACUGCUUCUUACCGGAAAAGAACGACCUACAAAGCCGAUUUUGACAAGGAACCAACAACAACCUGCAACACAUAUCAACACUAUGCUGGUGGUGGUGCGACGACGUUGGCUGCCGAUCGCAGUGGCUGGAGGUGAUGUUCGGUUGAACUUUCCUUACCGGUUGAAAGGCUGUUGUGGCGACCCUUCAAGAUGAGUCGUAAGAAAUUGAGAGGAUGAAACAAAACAUCAUUGUUCCUCAAUUUCCUGACUACUUUCGGCAUUGAAAUAAUCAACAGGAGAGAGUUCUGAAGUGGAAUUGUGGCUAUGGUUAAUUCUUCUGUUCAGAAAUCUGAAUAGUGUGUAAAAAAAUACAUUUGAUUUCCUUUUCUGUAUGUUCUUCAAUAGAUUUGUCAAGUGUUUAGCAUCCUAUAUUCCUAUAUAUUUCGUUCAGCUGUUUUCAGAUGUUGGUGACUUAAAAAGGUACUUACUUAAAGAAGGAUUGGAUUGUUUUUGUUGUUCAAACUUUGCAAAUUUGAGGAUGCACAUCAACUGUUUGAAAUGCUUCAAAGAACUGGUAAACUUUAAUGAAUAAAGAUUAAACAGUUAUACUCAUCUAUUAUGCCAUUUUUUUUCUUAUUGUUAAGUUCUAUAUGGGCAAAGUGAUAUCCGUCCAUUCUGACUUUUGACAUGUUAAGAUUUUUUACUUUUCACCUGAACCUAACAUCGUUGAAUUGGUUUUUAGAAACAUACACACUUAUUAUUGUCAACUUUUGUUUGUUCCAUGUAAAUUUCGAAUAAGAAUAUAUCCAAAACAAAAUUUGCCUUUUACAGCACACCUGCUCUUAUUACAUUCUGUUUCCCCACAAAGGCUGCACUAUAGGUUAGAGUCACGAAAAUAUGAAGUUAUUUAGUGUUAUAAGAAUAGUAAUUUUUUUUUUUAAUUUUACAAUCUUUUUGA